AAAAAUAAUAAUGUCAGAUGGUAUGGUUAUUGUUGCCCAACUAUACAAAAGCUGAAGGAGUAUGGAAAAAGCAGACCGCUGUAUUGACAUCUAAAAUUUAUUCUAUUCAGGCAACAACUCUGUUAAUUGAAAAGACUGCCCUAAGUAACGAUUGUGACCAGCUACAGAAUGAAGUGCAAAGAUACUUUCUAGGAAAUUUGAUGUCAGUAAAACAGUGACUAUCGGAGAUCAGCUAAAUUCUGGAUUGAUUAGCAAAUGCACAUUAAGGAAAAACUUUUCUAAUAUAAAAAAUUGGAGGUGGAGAUCCACAAAUUAAAGAUCAGAGAUUAUUCGGCCCUAAAAAAGCGAGAAAUCAACCAUGUCACCAGCAAAUUCUCUCUUGUUAUUAGGGAAGGAGUAAUGGACAACAAGUGUGCAAAUGAUAUGGUAGAUCAUAAAAAAAUAUUCUAUGCAAUGGAUUACAGUCAAUAAAAAGUGAAUUCCAGUUAACACUAUAUUCUGACACAAGUUUAUCAAAAUCACAUUGUUUGAU
rnacentral:misc_RNA from 1 species